rnacentral:rRNA from 1 species
UGGCUCGGGAUGAACGCUGGCGGCGUGCCUAACACAUGCAAGUCGAACGGAGUUCUUGAGGAAUGCGGCUUCGGUCAAAUGACUUUUGAACUUAGUGGCGGACGGGUGAGUAACGCGUGAGCAACCUGCCUUUCAGAGGGGGAUAACAUUUGGAAACAGAUGCUAAUACCGCAUAAGAUUACAGUACCGCAUGAUACAGUGAUCAAAGGAGCAAUCCGCUGAAAGAUGGGCUCGCGUCCGAUUAGAUAGUUGGUGAGGUAACGGCUCACCAAGUCGACGAUCGGUAGCCGGACUGAGAGGUUGAACGGCCACAUUGGGACUGAGACACGGCCCAGACUCCUACGGGAGGCAGCAGUGGGGAAUAUUGCACAAUGGGCGAAAGCCUGGUGCAGCAACGCCGCGUGAGGGAAGACGGUUUUCGGAUUGUAAACCUCUGUUUUCGGUGACGAACAAAUGACGGUAACCGAGUAGGAAGCCACGGCUAACUACGUGCCAGCAGCCGCGGUAAUACGUAGGUGGCAAGCGUUAUCCGGAAUUACUGGGUGUAAAGGGAGCGCAGGCGGGAUAGCAAGUCAGCUGUGAAAACUAUGGGCUCAACCCAUAAACUGCAGUUGAAACUGUUAUUCUUGAGUGGAGUAGAGGCAAGCGGAAUUCCGAGUGUAGCGGUGAAAUGCGUAGAUAUUCGGAGGAACACCAGUGGCGAAGGCGGCUUGCUGGGCUCUAACUGACGCUGAGGCUCGAAAGUGUGGGGAGCAAACAGGAUUAGAUACCCUGGUAGUCCACACUGUAAACGAUGAUUGCUAGGUGUGGGGGGUCUGACCCCCUCCGUGCCGGAGUUAACGCAAUAAGCAAUCCACCUGGGGAGUACGGCCGCAAGGUUGCAACUCAAAGGAAUUGACGG